AGCACAGUAGUAUCUCGAGAUCUUGUUUUCCUUUCAGCUCCAAUAAGAAGAUGGGAAUGGAGAGUUAGGGCCACAUCAAAAAUCAGAAAACCACAUCUCCAGGCAUUUGUCUGGAAGUGCACAUCUGUUCCAUUCUAAGGUAUACGUCAACAUCUUAGACCAUUUAAUCCAUCUAUACUUGUGUAAUUUCACUCCUGACCAUGGUUUUCAAAGCGUCGAAGCGCCCGGCGACGUCAAGGCGUCGUUCUCGCCUUAGAAUUUCUGACUAAGGCGUCCCGAGGCGUCGCGUAGGCGUCCUGGGGGCGUCGCCUAGGUGCUGAAAUCACCGCUUCGAUCGAUUUUGGACGCUCUCGAGCAGGAAACAGAGAUCGGGCGGGAGAAACCAAAAUUGGCGGGCAUAUGCGGGAGAGGAAGUGAAAUUGGAGGGAAAUUAGAGUAGGGAGAGAGAGGGGAACACCAAUAGCCCAUCCACCUCUGCCGCCAAGAAGCUGCCCGCAGCUUGCCAGAUCCGCCGCCGGCCUUUCCCUCAGCAGGAAACAGAGCCAGAAGGCCCAGAACUCAGAAAUCGGCGGGAGAAACUGAAAUUGGUGGGAGAGGAAGAGAAAUUGGAGAGAAAACGAGUUGGGAGAGAGAGAGAACACACCAGUGGUAUAAUUCAUGGGAAAAGAGAGAGAAGAGCUCCCGCCGACCAGAUCCCAUCCUCCUCCGCCAGUCCGUCGCCGGGCUGCUGCCCGCCAGAUCCCCUCCUCCCCCGCCAGUGGUGUAAAUCGUGGGAAAUUCAAGCUAGAUGAAUCAAGCUCAUCAAUAGAAAACAAAGGAGCCAAGUACCCAACCAUUUGUGGAUAAGGUUCCAAAGAUACAAAUUUAGUCCAAUAGCAGCAAUGGAGAGCCUGGUGCAAAUAUUUAAUGAAUGGCAAAUCCAGCUGCUAGUGCUGCUCAGCUUUACAUUACAGGUGUUCCUCUUUUUUACUGGUGGCCUUCGGUGGCGUAGCACAGAUUGGUGUCUUAGGUUUUCCAUGUGGGUGGCAUAUCUGGGGCAGAUAUGGUAGCAAUUUACGCCCUGGGAUUCCUCUCGCGGCACCACAAGGAAGUCACCCCUGGAAAGGAGACAUUAAGGCAAGCACAUCCACUUGCUUUCCUCUGGGCACCUUUCCUCCUCAUGCAUCUUGGUGGGCAGGACACCGUCACUGCAUUUGCUAUUGAAGACAACAACUUGUGGUUAAGGCAUCUGUUGAAUCUGGUAGUCCAAGUUGCUGUGGCCUUAUAUGUCUUCUGGGUGUCCAUGACGGGUCGCGGCGACCGCAGUGUGCAGCUUCCAGGUAUCUUUGUGUUUAUUGCUGGAGUUAUCAAGUAUGGGGAGAGGACAUUGGCUCAAUGUAUGGGAACGUAAAGAACAACAUCAGCAGCAGUACUUCCAUUGGGAAUGUAAUUGAUAAUGGGUAUCUUGGCAUUGUUACAUCUGCUUUGAAGUCGGCACCAGGCAUCCGAGAGCUCUUUGCUGGACGCACCUUGCACCAGAUGGACGACGAGAGGUACUGACAUCGGAUAUUCAUGUGGACCAUCUGCCCAAGUUACUGGAGAUUGAACUUGACUUGAUGUAUGAUGAUAUCUACACCAAGGCAAUGGUUCUUCGGACAAGAAGUGGCAUCAUAUUCCGGUGUGUAUCUCAAGCAUCUAUGGUGGUUGGUUUUGUGCUCUUCAUUGUAGGAGCAGUAAACAACAAGCAUGGAUACAGUAGAGCAGAUCUUGCAAUCACAUAUGUGCUGUUUACAGGAGGCCUUUGUAUGGAAGUCUGUGCAGUAUUUAUCUUGUUGAUGUCGCCAUGGACAUGGGCAUGGUUGAAGGCCCGAAACAACCAUGGGUUGCUUGCUUGCAUCUCUUCAUUUCUUCUAUCCAGCAAUAUUGGACGACCCGAGAGAAGGCCGUUGUGGUCAAAUUCUAUGGGGCAGUACAACUUUCUGAGCUACGUAAGCUCUGAUCAGCAGUCAAGGCUGUACAAGUUUGCGAAGAAAGUGGUGGCGGCGAGCCUGCUAGUGGUCGGCGCUGGGAAAAAAGUAGAGUUGUCAUUGUUCUUGUCGAUGAGCAAGUUGCUGGAGUCCGAGUACGUGGAGGUGGAUAAGGAGAUCAUGGACUCUGUUGUACAGAUGGUCUGCCGAUACCACCCAGGUGAAUCAGCCAUGAACGCCGAAAACUGCCAUAUCUUGGUCCGUUGCUGGCAAAGUUAAUACCGGACUUUGGUGCGAGUUUUGGUUAUGGAAUUGUCUGUUUCCAUAUAUUCACAGAGGCACACCUAAGAAAGUAUACAUAUCCAGGUCGAGAUCAUGUGUUAGUCAGUGCUUGCCGGAAGUUGUCCAACUACAUGCUCUACCUUCUGGCCACACACCCUGAGAUGUUGCCAGUCAGUGGUACUACAGAACCCACCUUGCUAUUCUUUCUUCACAAAAUCAAUCUAUACUUGAAGUACCCAGUGAUACCAUUCUGAUGUGUGUCGACACGAUGUUUUAUGAAAUGAAUUUACUUGGAGUCGUCGAUGUAGGGAGCAUAGAAGCAUUGGUGGAGAUGAGAGACUUGUGGACGACACUUCUCAUUUUCUCCGCUGGCAAGUCCCGUGCGGACGUGCAUGCGGCGCAGCUGAGCAGAGGAGGGGAGCUCCUCACCUUCGCUUGGUUGCUCAUGGCCCACAGAAAACUAGGGGAUGUAGGCGAGGCCUACAAUUUCAAUCUGUUGCCCAUGUUGCCCAGCCCCCCACCCCUGCCCAGCCCCAGCGUCUCGGACUUGGCUUCGGCCAGUCGUGUUGGGCGAGGUCAUCUGCUGUAAAUUCUAUAUAAGCAAAAGGAAUAAAGGCAGACAAAGCUGCGGUGUCUGCAAAGUUACAGCGGCAAUACGUGCGUUUCAAUGAUUGUUAGGGCUAGCUUCAUAUCGCUGCAGGCCAUCGCCAGGCGUGAAGAAGCAGAAGCUGCCCAGGUCGGCCUGAUUUCCAACAAGUGGUAUCAAAGCCAGAUUUCAGAUUUUCCGAAGCUAGCGGGAGAUCAUGUCAACGGAUAAAAAAGCAUCAAGUGCGUCGAGGGAAUCAUCCUCUACGGCAACGUACCCUCGUCUCAAUCGCAAGGACUACGCCAUGUGGGUCAUGAAAAUGACUGUCGCGCUGGAGGUGCAGGAACUAUGGGCAAGGCGGUGGACCCUGGAGGUACAGCUAGCAUAUGCCAAAGGAGGCGCGCAGUACAGGACAGAUCGGCAAUGAUGCCGGUCAGCGGCCACCACAAUGGUCCCGCAGCAUCGAUCAAUUCUCCGCCGAUGAUUCGUAUGUAUUUUAUUUUUGAUCAAUCUAUGAAUUUUAAACCUUUCUGUGUAAGUCAGAAAUUAAUUUAACAAUCGGAUGAUUGUCCAUAGUGAAAAAAAAGUAGCUGCAAAAGGCACCUUCGGUAUUC